rnacentral:rRNA from 1 species
GAUGAACGCUGGCGGCGUGCCUAAUACAUGCAAGUCGAGCGAACAGACGAGGAGCUUGCUCCUCUGACGUUAGCGGCGGACGGGUGAGUAACACGUGGAUAACCUACCUAUAAUACUGGGAUAACUUCGGGAAACCGGAGCUAAUACCGGAUAAUAUAUUGAACCGCAUGGUUCAAUAGUGAAAGACGGUUUUGCUGUCACUUAUAGAUGGAUCCGCGCCGCAUUAUCUAGUUGGUAAGGUAACGGCUUACCAAGGCAACGAUGCGUAGCCGACCUGAGAGGGUGAUCGGCCACACUGGAACUGAGACACGGUCCAGACUCCUACGGGAGGCAGCAGUAGGGAAUCUUCCGCAAUGGGCGAAAGCCUGACGGAGCAACGCCGCGUGAGUGAUGAAGGUCUUCGGAUCGUAAAACUCUGUUAUUAGGGAAGAACAAAUGUGUAAGUAACUAUGCACGUCUUGACGGUACCUAAUCAGAAAGCCACGGCUAACUACGUG